rnacentral:rRNA from 1 species
GAGUGGCGGACGGGUGAGUAACACGUGGGUAACCUGCCCAGAAGCAGGGGAUAACACCUGGAAACAGAUGCUAAUACCGUAUAACAGAGAAAACCGCCUGGUUUUCUUUUAAAAGAUGGCUCUGCUAUCACUUCUGGAUGGACCCGCGGCGCAUUAGCUAGUUGGUGAGGUAACGGCUCACCAAGGCGAUGAUGCGUAGCCGACCUGAGAGGGUAAUCGGCCACAUUGGGACUGAGACACGGCCCAGACUCCUACGGGAGGCAGCAGUAGGGAAUCUUCCACAAUGGACGCAAGUCUGAUGGAGCAACGCCGCGUGAGUGAAGAAGGGUUUCGGCUCGUAAAGCUCUGUUGUUAAAGAAGAACGUGGGUGAGAGUAACUGUUCACCCAGUGACGGUAUUUAACCAGAAAGCCACGGGCUAACUACGGUGCCAGCACCCGUAADHGGUAGGUGCAAGCGGUACCGGAUUAUUGGGGGUAAAGCGAGCGCAGGCGGUCUUUUAAGUCUAAUGUGAAAGCCUUCGGCUCAACCGAAGAAGUGCAUUGGAAACUGGGAGACUUGAGUGCAGAAGAGGACAGUGGAACUCCAUGUGUAGCGGUGAAAUGCGUAGAUAUAUGGAAGAACACCAGUGGCGAAGGCGGCUGUCUGGUCUGUAACUGACGCUGAGGCUCGAAAGCAUGGGUAGCGAACAGGAUUAGAUACCCUGGUAGUCCAUGCCGUAAACGAUGAUUACUAAGUGUUGGAGGGUUUCCGCCCUUCAGUGCUGCAGCUAACGCAUUAAGUAAUCCGCCUGGGGAGUACGACCGCAAGGUUGAAACUCAAAAGAAUUGACGGGGGCCCGCACAAGCGGUGGAGCAUGUGGUUUAAUUCGAAGCUACGCGAAGAACCUUACCAGGUCUUGACAUCUUCUGCCAACCUAAGAGAUUAGGCGUUCCCUUCGGGGACAGAAUGACAGGUGGUGCAUGGUUGUCGUCAGCUCGUGUCGUGAGAUGUUGGGUUAAGUCCCGCAACGAGCGCAACCCUUAUUACUAGUUGCCAGCAUUCAGUUGGGCACUCUAGUGAGACUGCCGGUGACAAACCGGAGGAAGGUGGGGACGACGUCAAAUCAUCAUGCCCCUUAUGACCUGGGCUACACACGUGCUACAAUGGAUGGUACAACGAGUYGCGAAACCGCGAGGUUUAGCUAAUCUCUUAAAACCAUUCUCAGUUCGGACUGUAGGCUGCAACUCGCCUACACGAAGUCGGAAUCGCUAGUAAUCGCGGAUCAACAUGCCGCGGUGAAUACGUUCCCGGGCCUUGUACACACCGCCGUCACACCAUGAGAGUUUGUAACACCCAAAGCCGGUGGGGUAACCUUUUAGAGCUAGCCCGUCUAAAGUGGGACAGAUGAUUAGGUGAAAUCGUAACAA